GCUGCGCCACAUUAGUGGGCACUGGCAGGUGUUUGCGCCGGAAGUGCAAUUAGUGAUUGAACACAAUGGCGUCACAUCGUCUGGUCGUUGUUCGUGGGUUUUUAAAUGUUUAAAAGUUAUUUGGUAAUAUAUGACUUUAUAUAUAACUGUAAUCAGGCGGUGGGCAGAAUAAGUCGACCACAGAGGAAGAACAGUGAACCAAAGACAACCAAAGGACUUGUCUCAGUCAACACCGUCCUCGACUCCGACUCACCUGCCGCCAUUUUUCAUCCAAUCAGUGGGCGGGGGAAAGAAGAUGAACCAGGUGCAUUCUAUAUAAUGAGUUUUGGUUGUGGCUGAGGACGUGCGAGAAGGAAGUGGUGUCACCGUGAGGAGGAGGAUGAUGAGGCCUAGAAGAGAGCAUGAUACGCAUGCAGUCAGGUGUCUGGGUCAGUGAUCUUGAGUGUUCGGGCCACAUUCCAAGACACGUGAAUCAUGGGGACAAUGGACUUCACCUUCUUGACUUCAUUCCACUCAAAUCUCUCCAGGGCCAGCUGGUACUGGUAAGCUGCAAACACAGUUGACAUUUUGAUGAGUGACGAUUUAGUUCUGCUUGCAGGUGGCGCACUCCUCACCAUUGAGCGGUCCCACAUUCCAUGCAAUGUUGUUGCACCAGCCCACCGCCUGUACCCAGUGAACGGUCCCAGCAUUGAUCCACACCAAGUCUCCUGGCCUCUGGAUGAAACGGUACACUGGGAUUUUGGCGUUGUAGAGGUCCUCCAACACAGGCCACCAGGAGCCCGUCAAAUAAUCCACCCCAUGCCUGAGUCAGACACGUCACAUUGCAUGUCACAUUUUCAAUAAUAGUCAAUGAAAAGUGGGUAUCUUCAUGAGGACUCACUUCUCACAGAAGUCAUUGAUGGCAUGCCAGUAGUUCUCGUGCACAGAGAACCACUCGCAGUCUCCAGGGCCAAUGUUGAUGUUCACGGAGCAAAAGUUGUUGUUCUCUUGGUGGCCUAUGCGGUGAACAAACAGGACACUUUUUACUCCAGCUGGGGCAUCUCUGUGUGUGCCAUUUGUGCAUUUAUUACUUGUGACUGGUUCCUAGUCAAAUGUUAACAAGUUAUGAGCAGGAAUGCUAGUUGCCAUUCAGACAAGUACAUGCCCUGUGAUAUGAGAAUUAAAAAGCUUGCCAUCGGGAUGAGCUUACCUGGCGUUCUGCUGCCUGGAACCUUCAUGUAUAGCUGGACAGUGUUCAUGCCCAGGAUGGUGUGUCCCACAUGGCUCAGCAUGUUCCCACUGGAUGCCACGCGCAUGAACGCUGGCAGCUUCUGCAAUUCCUGCAGCUGGGGCUUCCACCUAAAAGACAGCCGUUGUUCAACUUGCAGUCAUGUGACUGACAGCCAGCAUCUUGAUUGGGGUGCUUUUACCUCUUGGGGUCUGAGAGGUCAAUGUUGGUGCCAAAUUUAAUGAUCUUGCCAACUGCUUUCUGGUCACCGCUGUGGAAAACCACCCAAUGUGUGAUUCCUAUUGCUUCCAAGUGUUUUGUAAAACUUUGCAACUCUCCUCACCUGCUACUGUCUUUUGUGUUGUCUUUACUCAGUGCUUCCAAGCUGCUGGAUGGCUUCUUGUCAUCUUCUUCAUCCUCCUCGUCACUGCCUUUCUCCUCCUUCCAAACCCGUGUGUUUAUUAGUCAGCUGAUCAACACAGAGCCAGUAGUGUGUAGCUAAGGUACUGUCUUACCUGCAGGCUCUCCUGGAAGCUGGAAGCCUGGUACUGAGCGUACUUAGCAAUGGUGGUAUGUGAGCGGCUGCUCUCGCAAGGCCACGUCUGGCCUGUCCCACUGGGGUCCCAGUUCUCGUCGGCUGGCUGCUGCACCUGAGUCCUCACCUCCACCGCCUGCUCUGCGUUGGCCUCCACCAGAGACUUUGUAGAAAACAAGCCCAAGUCUGAAAAAUUAGAGUGAGCAUUGUUAGCAUGUUUAUUUGCUGAGCGAAAACGCAAAGCAACUUUUAUCUAAUUAGCAACUUACUGAGCCGCAGAGAUCCAGCCAGGCCUCUGAUGACUGUGACAGGAUUCUUUGGGUCAGUACAGAACUGCAGCAGUACAGGGGAGAAGGCGUCCCUCUUGCUCUCCAGCUGCACAACACAAAAUGGACAAGAAACCAUAAGACUAGUCAAACACAUGGACAAAUGUCAACAUUUACAUUUUUAUCAGCUUGUGUCAAAUGUGCCAUAUACUUAUAUUUUAGUGUUGUAUAGUUUUUUUUUUUUUUUUUUUUACACACUACCUUAGACUUUCUCAAUAGCAUUAGCAAAAAAUUGAUCAUUUACAAGGUGCAAUAAUAUAUGAAAUCUAUUUUAAAUACUGUAUACUCUAAUUAGUGUUAAGAAAAUUGAGAAAUGAAUUGAUUUAAUGUAUUUUUUAAAUCUCACCUACACAUAGCUGAGAAAAGCCCUCACUUUGAGGUGUCCCAGCCAUUUGAGACUACAGUAGUCCCAAGCGCUGCCUGCAACCUUUAGUUUUGACCACCAGGGGAAGAUCGCUGUUCUUUUGCCAAUCUCCAUAUCAUUUGAGAGUAAAAGUAAGAUAAAACCUCAGGUCCAUAUAAAGCGUUACACAUGAGAAAACAGAGCACUUUUCUGAGUAAUACACGUCUUGAACACUGAACCAACUGAGAUCCACUGAUCUUUGGUAGAGUAACAGUAAAAUUAAGAGAUUAAAAAUGUGAUUAAUGCAAUUUUUUUUAAAAUUACGCAAUCAAUAUGCCUGUAAUUAAGUGCAAAUAAUGCACUACUUUGACACCCCUAAUCUUGAAUUAGUCAAAGCCCAUCAUACAUGCAUUGAUUUUUGUACAUUUGCAGCUAUCAUGUUAAAUCUGGGGAUUUCAAUUGUCAAUAUUUCCUAUCAUUGGUGUUACAAUUUUCGGUCUAUUUGGGGAAUAACAUGCAGAAGCCAAAAUGGGUGUGAGAGGUGGUCUACUCACAUAGAUGCUGGGAGUUGGCGGAUUGAGUUUCUCGCUUGGAAUGUGCUCCUCGGACGCCAUGAUUGGCUUAACAGAGAAAGCCGGUAGAAGGUAAGAUUCCCUGAACUUCCCUUUCACUCGGGCGCCCCUUGAACAAGAUGCAGACAACAUUCACAUAUCUCAGAUGUUAACAAGAAAAGCAUGCUCUUCCUGUGUCGGCCUCACUUGCAAGAGCAGAUGAUUUCAGCGGCAGAGUUGCUGAUGCUGAUGUCUUCCAAGGGGAUCCUCUUGUCCUCCACCUCAGAGGCGAUAAAGGUCUCUCGGUCGCCGCUCUCCACUUUGAUCAGCCGGAUCUUCAGCUCCUUCGGGGGCCCGUCCGACAGCGCCUUCAGCCUCAGCAAGUUGGUGGAAUCAAGCGAGGAGCCGGAUUGGGCGCCUUUUUUCGACCGCCACUCGGCAUGCUCACCCUCGCUAGAGGAGGCCGUACCAGCAGUAUCCUUGCGCCUCUUUUUAUCGGAGUCGUGAUUACGGUUCUUUCCCAAGCCGUCUUUGCUCUGGAGGAUGAGGUCGCAAAGAAUCCGCCGGUCCUUCUUGUCCUUGUGGCUCUUUCCCUCCCGGUGCUUCUUGUGACUGCUGCUAGAAUGUGAAGACGAGGAUGAAGAGAAGGCUACCUCGUCCCUCUUUUCUCUGUGCUUCUUCCUCUCUUUCCUAUCUUCGUGUUUCCUCUUCUUCUCUUUCUCCCUCUCUCUGUCCUUGUGUCGCUCCUUCACCUUCUCGGUCUUGUGUCCACCUUCCACUUUCCCGGGCCGUGCAUCUUUUUCCACAUUGAGGAGUGGUGUUCGAGCGAGCAUGACC